rnacentral:rRNA from 1 species
UACGGGGGGGGCAAGCGUUGUUCGGAAUUACUGGGCGUAAAGGGCGCGUAGGCGGUCUCUUAAGUUCCGUGUGAAAUCCCUCGGCUCAACUGGGGAACUGCACGGGAAACUGGAAGGCUUGAGUUCGGGAGAGGGAAGCGGAAUUCCGGGUGUAGCGGUGAAAUGCGUAGAUAUCCGGAGGAACACCGGUGGCGAAGGCGGCUUCCUGGACCGACACUGACGCUGAGGCGCGAAAGCUAGGGGAGCAAACGGG